GGACUGAAGAGCUGCUCUGCGACUCCUCACUCAGCGUCUACAAACUGUGGAUUUGCAGCUAAACUUUCUUCAGAGGGGGAAAUGUGUUCACUAUGUUGCCUCAUGGUUUUAUUUUAUAUCUUAAAUAUUUGAGCAUUUUUCUCUCUUCCUCUCUCCUUCCCUGUCUCCCUUUUUUCUGUUCCCCUUCCUGUUCCCCACCCUUCCAGUCAGCUCUUGAUUGUGCAUGCUAAUGAAGGGCACAGUAGCACAGCUAAUACAGUCUACAACUUUUCUUCACUGCCACAGUGGGGAGACAGAAAAACCAAAUAGCAAGAAAACCUGGGAAGUGAGUCUCUGGAAAGAGUGGGGAACAGAUUUAGGCCUAUUAAAGGAAGGCAGGAAGAACUAAAGGAAGUAAUUGAACGUUUUAAGAAAGAUGAACACUUGGAGAAAGCCUUCAAAUGUUUGACUUCAGGCGAAUGGGCACGGCACUAUUUUCUCAACAAGAAUAAAAUGCAGGAGAAAUUAUUCAAAGAACAUGUAUUUAUUUAUUUGCGAAUGUUUGCAACUGACAGUGGAUUUGAAAUAUUGCCAUGUAAUAGAUACUCAUCAGAACAAAAUGGAGCCAAAAUAGUUGCAACAAAAGAGUGGAAACGAAAUGACAAAAUAGAAUUACUGGUGGG
rnacentral:sRNA from 1 species